CAGCUGUUGGUAGAGGGCGCUUUGAGAGUUGCUAUAAUCAGGAUUGAAGAUUUGGAGCAGCACAACGCGUAUUCCGAUCAUGUAACGUGGACGGUUUGUUGCAGCUGUUGUUGUUGUAGUUGUUGUUGUUGUGGGUUUUGUUGUGGUGGUUGUUGUGGGGGCUGUUGUGGUAGUUGCCGCAGCUGUUGUGGUAGUUGCAGCAGCUGUUGUAGGGGCUUUUGUGGUAGUGGUGGUAGCUGUUGUGGGUGCUGUUGUGGCUGUCGUUGUAGUUACACCAACUGUUGUGGUAGCUGUUGUGGUAGUGGUGGGAGCUGUUGUGGUAGUUGCUGCAGCUGUUGUGGCUGUCGUUGUAGUUGCAGCAACUGUUGUGGUAGCUGUUGUGGUAGUGGUGGGAGCUGUUGUGGUAGUUGCAGCAGCUGUUGUGGGGGCGUUUGUGGUAGUGGUGGGAGCUGUUGUGGUAGUUGCUGCAGCUGUUGUGGUGGUUGCAGCAGCUGUUGUGGUAGUUGCUGGAGCUGUUGUGGUGGUUGCAGCAGCUGUUGUGGUAGUUGGAGCAGCUGUUGUGGUAGUUGCAUCAGCUGUUGUGGUAAUUGCAUCAGCUGUUGUGGUAGUUUCUGGAGCUGUUGUGGGUGCUGUUGUGGUGGUUGCAGCAGCUGUUGUGGUAGUUUCUGGAGCUGUUGUGGUGGUUGCUGGAGCUGUUGUGGUGGUUGCAGCAGCUGUUGUGGUAGUUGGAGCAGCUGUUGUUGUAGUUUCCGGAGCGGUUGUGGGUGCUGUUGUGGUAGUGGUGACAGCUGUUGUGGGUGCUGUUGUGGUAGUUGCAGCAGCUGCUGUGGUAGUUGCAUCAGCUGUUGUGGGGGCGAUUGUGGUAGUGGUGGGAGCUGUUGUGGUAGUGGUGAGAGCUGUUGUGGGUGCCGUUGUUGUAGUUGCAGCAGCUGUUGUGGUAGUUGCAGCAGCUGUUGUGGUAGUUGCCGGAGCUGUUGUGGUAGUUGUAGUUGCUGUUGUGGGGGCCAUUGUGGGUGCUGUUGUGGUAGUUUCUGGAGCUGUUGUGGUGGUUGCUGGAGCAGUUGUGGUAAUUUCUGGAGCUGUUGUGGUGGUUGCAACAGCUGUUGUGGUAGUUG
ensembl:lncRNA